rnacentral:rRNA from 1 species
GGGAAAUAUUGCACAAUGGGCGAAAGCCUGAUGCAGCAACGCCGCGUGAGUGAUGAAGGCCUUCGGGUCGUAAAGCUCUUUGAUCAGGGAAGAUAAUGACAGUACCUGAAAAAGAAGCCCCGGCUAACUACGUGCCAGCAGCCGCGGUAAUACGUAGGGGGCGAGCGUUGUCCGGAAUUACUGGGCGUAAAGGAUGCGUAGGUGGAUUUUUAAGUGGGAUGUGAAAUCCUCCGGCUCAACCCGGGAACUGCUUUCCAAACUGGGUAUUUAAAGGGCAGGAAAGAAAAGGGGAAUUCCUAGGGUAGCGGGGAAAUGCUUAAAUAUUAGGAGGAACACCAUUGGCGAAGGCGGCUUUUUGGACUGUAACUGACCCUAAGGCCUGAAACCGUGGGUAGCAAACAGGAUUAAAAACCCGGGUAGUCCACCCCGUAAACAAUGGGUACUAGGGGUAGGAGGUAUCGGCCCCUUCUGUGCUGUCGUUAUUACAAUAUCUACCCCGCCUGGGGAGUACCGUCACUGGACUUCAAUGAAAUGAAUGUGGC